AGAUUGAACGCUGGCGGCAUACCUAACACAUGCAAGUCGAACGGGAGUAGCAAUACUCUAGUGGCGGACGGGUGAGGAAUACGUUGGAAUUUGCCCUUAAGUGGGGGAUAACCCGGGGAAACCCGGAUUAAUACCGCAUGACCUCGAAAGAGCAAAGUGGGGGAUCGCAAGACCUCACGCUUUUGGAGAAGCCUACGUCGGAUUAGCUAGUUGGUGAGGUAAUGGCUCACCAAGGCGACGAUCCGUAACUGGUCUGAGAGGAUGAUCAGUCACACCGGAACUGACGACGACGGUCCGGACU
rnacentral:rRNA from 1 species